rnacentral:rRNA from 1 species
UACAGAGGUCUCAAGCGUUGUUCGGAUUCAUUGGGCUAAAGGGUGUGUAGGUGGCGCCGUAAGUCGGGUGUGAAAUUUCGGAGCUUAACUCCGAAACUGCAUUCGAUACUGCGGUGCUUGAGGACUGGAGAGGAGACUGGAAUUCAUGGUGUAGCAGUGAAAAUGCGUAGAGAUCAUGAGGAAGACCAGUGGCGAAGGCGGGUCUCUGGACAGUUCCUGACACUGAGACACGAAGGCCAGGGGAGCAAACGGG